GCCGCGAUAGCUCAGCUGGGAGAGCGCUGCACUGAAGUUUCUGACGCAAUGCAUAGGUCACCUGUUCAAUCCAGGUUCGUGGCA